CGGGGAAACUUACCAGGUCAAAACGUGGGUGUGAUGGACAGAUUGAGAGCUCUUUCUUGAUUCUACGGGUGGUGGUGCAUGGCCGUUCUUAGUUGGUGGAGUGAUUUGUCUGGUUAAUUCCUUUAACGAACGAGACCUUAACCUGCUAACUAGCACCCCGUCUCAACGGAAGGUGCUUCUUAGAGGGACUGUGCGAGCCUAUCGCACGGAAGUUUGAGGCAAUAACAGGUCUGUGAUGCCCUUAGAUGUCCUGGGCCGCACGCGCGCUACAAUGGCACACACAGCGAGUUUCCUGAUCCGAAGGGAGCCGGGUAACCUGUCAGGGUGUGCCGUGAUUGGGAUCGACCCUUGCAAUUAUGGGUCGUGAACGAGGAAUUCCUAGUAAGCGCAAGUCAUCAGC
rnacentral:rRNA from 1 species